rnacentral:rRNA from 1 species
AUCAUCCGCAAGGAUGGUUAGUGGCGAACGGUCGCGUAACACGUAAGCAACCUGCCUCAAAGUGGGGGACAACAGGCCGAAAGGCCUGCUAAUACCGCAUGUGGUCAAGUCUUCGCAUGGGGACUUGACUAAAGCCAGUUUACGCUGGCGCUUUGAGAUGGGCUUGCGGCCUAUCAGGUAGUUGGUGGGGUAACGGCCUACCAAGCCGACGACGGGUAGCUGGUCUGAGAGGACGAUCAGCCGGAUUGGGACUGAGAUACGGCCCAGACUCCUACGGGGGGCAGCAAUUAGGAAUCUUGCACAAUGGGCGAAAGCCUGAUGCAGCGACGCCGCGUGCGGGACGAAGGCCUUCGGGUCGUAAACCGCUUUUGACGAGGAAGAAGCAUGUGACGGUACUCGUCGAAUAAGCCCCGGCUAACUACGUGCCAGCAGCCGCGGUAAUACGUAGGGGGCGAGCGUUGUCCGAAGUUACUGGGCGUAAAGCGCGCGUAGGCGGCCCUCUAAGUCUGGGGUGAAAGGUUCAACGCUCAACGUGAACAGUGCCCUGGAUACUGGGGGGCUUGAGUUCGGGAGGGGGCUGUGGAAUUCCGGGUGUAGCGGUGAAAUGCGUAGAUAUCCGGAGGAACACCGAUGGCGAAGGCAGCAGCCUGGCCCANAACUGACGCUGAUGUGCGAAAGCGUGGGGAGCGAACGGGAUUAGAUACCCCGGUAGUCCACGCCGUAAACGAUGAGUGCUANGUGUUCGGGGUAUCGACCCCCCGGGUG